rnacentral:rRNA from 1 species
UACGAAGGGGGCUAGCGUUGCUCGGAAUCACUGGGCGUAAAGCGCACGUAGGCGGAUUGCUAAGUCAGGGGUGAAAUCCUGGGAGCUCAACUCCAGAACUGCCCUUGAUACUGGCGGUCUCGAGUCCGGGAGAGGUGAGUGGAACUGCGAGUGUAGAGGUGAAUUCGUAGAUAUUCGCAAGAACACCAGUGGCGAAGGCGGCUCACUGGCCCGGUACUGACGCUGAGGUGCGAAAGCGUGGGGAGCAAACGG